rnacentral:rRNA from 1 species
UACGAAGGGGGCUAGCGUUGUUUCGGAUUUACUGGGCGUAAAGCGCACGUAGGCGGACUAUUAAGUCAGGGGUGAAAUCCCGGGGCUCAACCCCGGAACUGCCUUUGAUACUGGUAGUCUUGAGUUUCGAGAGAGGUGAGUGGAAUUCCGAGUGUAGAGGUGAAAUUCGUAGAUAUUCGGAGGAACACCAGUGGCGAAGGCGGCUCACUGGCUCGAUACUGACGCUGAGGUGCGAAAGCGUGGGGAGCAAACAGG